AGUCCGGUAAGUGAAACGGGAAUGACAAGGCGGGGAUCCAGAGUACACAGGACACGAGAAAUCCGGUGGGAACACGGUGGGACCACCCCCCAAGGCUAAAUACUACUUGGUGACCGAUAGAGAAUAGUACCGUGAGGGAAAGGUGAAAAGCACCCCGGGAGGGGAGUGAAAAAGAACCUGAAACCCUGUGUUACAAGCAGAGGGAGCGAAAGCGACCUCGUACUUUUUGUAGAACGGGCCGGCGAGUUGCUAUAUGUUGCAAGGUUAAGGUGUAGAGCACCGCAGCCGUAGGGAAACCGAGUCUCAAAUGGGCGAUUUGAGUAGCAUAUAGCAGACCCGAAACCGGGUGACCUAUCCAUGGACAGGUUGAAGCGGCGGUAAGACGCCGUGGAGGACCGAACCAGACGCAUGUUGAAAAAUGCGGGGAUGAGCUGUGGAUAGCGGAGAAAUUCCAAUCGAACUCGGAGAUAGCUGGUUCUCCCCGAAAUAGCUUUAGGGCUAGCCUCGAUUUAAAGAUUACCGGGGGUAGAGCACUGAAUGGGCUAGGGGGCCACAAAGCUUACCGAACCCUAUCAAACUCCGAAUACCGGAUAAUUAUAAUCGGGAGUCAGACAGUGGGAGAUAAGUUUCAUUGUCAAAAGGGAAACAGCCCAGAUCAACGACUAAGGUCCCAAAGUGGUGGUUAAGUGGGAAAGGAUGUGCAAUUGCACAGACAACCAGGAUGUUGGCUUAGAAGCAGCCACUCAUUCAAAGAGUGCGUAAUAGCUCACUGGUCGAGUGAAUGUGCGCCGAAAAUGUACCGGGGCUAAACCACACACCGAAGUCUUGGGAUUGCGUAAGCAAUCGGUAGGGGAGCAACGAAUACGGGCUGAAGCGGAAUUGUGAGAGACCGUGGACUGUAUUGGAGAGAGAAUGCCGGCAUGAGUAGCGAGAGCAAAGUGAGAAUCUUUGCCGUCGAAAGCCUAAGGUUUCCUGAGGAAGGUUCGUCCUCUCAGGGUAAGUCGGGGCCUAAGCCGAGGACAAAAGUCGUAGGCGAUGGACAACAGGUUGAUACUCCUGUACCACGACAAUUCGUUUGACUGCCGCAGCGACACAGAAGGAUAGGCAGAGCGGGGCGAUGGUAGACCCCGUCCAAGCGGUGAGGCUGGUGUGUAGUGAAGUACGCACACUAAGGCUGGGCCGUAAUGGGGACCGAAAAUAAGUAGGGAAGCUGUUGAAUUCACGCUGGCGAGAAAAGCUGCUAAGGAGAAUUGUGGUGCCCGUACCGCAAACCGACACAGGUGGGCGAGGAGAGAAUCCUAAGACGAACGGGAGAACCCUUGUUAAGGAACUCGGCAAAAUGACCCCGUAACUUCGGGAUAAGGGGAGCCUCGAAAGAGGCCGCAGAGAAUAGGCCCAAGCGACUGUUUAGCAAAAACACAGGUCUGUGCGAAGUAGAGAUACGACGUAUACGGGCUGACGCCUGCCCAGUGCCGGAAGGUUAAGGGGAAGUGUUAGGGCAACCGAAGCACGGAACUUAAGCCCCGGUGAACGGCGGCCGUAACUAUAACGGUCCUAAGGUAGCGAAAUUCCUUGUCGGGUAAGUUCCGACCCGCACGAAUGGCGUAACGACUUGGGCACUGUCUCAACAAGGGACCCGGCGAAAUUGUAGUAUGUGUGAAGAUGCACAUUACCCGCGACUGGACGGAAAGACCCCGUAGAGCUUUACUGUAGCUUGGCAUUGGAUC
rnacentral:rRNA from 1 species